ensembl:lncRNA
CCCCUCCCCUGUGCGCGCUUUCCUGAACUGUGCCUUUGUGUUUUUGUAGGAGCAGUAGGUAAACCUGAUCUAGACAUUUUGCGUGUAGAUGCAUUUCCUCCACUCCUUUCAAGGACAGGAGCUGGGGGCGGGGAGCGGCAGCGGCAGCCGCUGCAGGUGGACCGAGCGCGUUCGCGGGCUCGGCCGCCCCCGCUCCAGCGCCUAGGAAUCCGGUCCGCGGUUUCGCGGCUGCUUGCCGCUCCCGGGGCUCUAGUGAUACCAGCGAAUAUUAGCAAACCCUGAUCCAGUCUCUUGUUGCCUGUCUUCUGAGAUUUAACAUCAGCUGCAUCUUCUGGAAAUGGGUCACAUCACUGGAUGUCAUCCAGAUGUGGAAACUGGGAACCACAGAGCAGAGCGACUGAUCACAUUUUCUAAAAACAUUUGGCCUGUGAUCCAAGAGCUGACUGAAAUAUUUCAAGGCAUAUUUUUCUAGAUAUUCCAGAAAAAAAAAAUUCAAAAUUCUCUUUUAUUCUAAAAUCCAAUCAUUCAUAU